UACGGAGGGGGCUAGCGUUGUUCGGAAUUACUGGGCGUAAAGCGCACGUAGGCGGCUUUGCAAGUCAGAGGUGAAAGCCCGGGGCUCAACCCCGGAAUAGCCUUUGAGACUGCAUCGCUUGAACAUCGGAGAGGUAAGUGGAAUUCCGAGUGUAGAGGUGAAAUUCGUAGAUAUGCGGAGGAACACCGAUGGCGAAGGCAGCCCCCUGGGCUAACACUGACGCUCAGGCACGAAAGCGUGGGGAGCAAACAGG
rnacentral:rRNA from 1 species